UACAGAGGGUGCGAGCGUUGCUCGGAAUCACUGGGCGUAAAGGGUGCGUAGGCGGGUCUUUAAGUCAGGGGUGAAAUCCUGGAGCUCAACUCCAGAACUGCCUUUGAUACUGAGGAUCUUGAGUUCGGGAGAGGUGAGUGGAACUGCGAGUGUAGAGGUGAAAUUCGUAGAUAUUCGCAAGAACACCAGUGGCGAAGGCGGCUCACUGGCCCGAUACUGACGCUGAGGCACGAAAGCGUGGGGAGCAAAC
rnacentral:rRNA from 1 species